CGAGCAACCAGUAGUUACCUCGCACCAUCAUCACUAGACAGGUUGUCAGCCAAGACUUCCGAGAAGCCUGUCUACCUUCAUUGAAGCUAAUUAUCCUGCGUUGGACGCCGUCUGCAAUUGGAGCAUCGCUAUUCAACAAUCAUAUAUUAGUCAUUUGACUGCGGCCAUGCUGGAACACUGCCUUUACUCGAGCAAAUCAACUCCAAGACUUAUUCUUUGUAAGCCUAGUACCUAUUCUAUCGGUCUCUUUUGCCGAACUGCUACGUUACGGAGACGUAAACACACCGGCAUCGGUUGUCAAGCGCAUCGGUUGUACAAACGCAGACACACAAACAUAUACACAGACAUACAUACAUAUAUAUAUGUGUGUGUAUAUAUAUAUAUAUAUAUAUAUAUAUAUAUAUAUAUACAUAUAUAUAUACACACACACGACGGGCUUCUUUCAGUUUCCGUCUACUAAAUCCACUCACAAGGCUUUGGUCGGCCCGGUAGAAGACACUCACCCAAGGUGCCACGCAGUGGGACUGAACCCCGAACCAUGUGGCUGAUUCACAAUGGGCUGCGAAAGACAAAUGAAAAAAUUGAGGGGGGAUGAUUGAGAGAGAAUAAGACGUAGAAGAAUCAGGAUCAUUUCUUGAUUAAGAACCAGAUGAAGGGGAAUCUGAAGAGGAAAAAGAGAGUACAGCUGAGGAAGGAACAACAGAUGAAGAAGAAAGGACAGAUGAAGUGGGAGGAACUGAAGCAGAUAGCAUGUUGCAGACUUCACCAGAUGAUCCUUUAGAAGAAACAGAUAAAGCUAAUGAUAAAGAUGAACAACAGGCUAACAAGAGCACAGAAAAAGGGUUUAUAGGCAAAAAUGAUAAAACUCUCUGAAAGAAGUCUCCCCAUGUCUUUCACGUGGUACACGCUCACACAAUAUAUACCAGGAUUCACCAGGACCAAGAGGAACAGCAGCAAAACACGUGUAUGCUGCAAAGGAUUAUUGGUCUUUGUUUCUCACACAAGAACUUCUGAAUGAAUUAAUAGCUUGCACUAAUAUCUACAUUGACAGUAAACAAGGAAAAUAUAAAGAUAAGUCAAAAGAAAGACAUAUUAAUAAAAGGGAGAUGAAAGCUGCAAUAGGACUGUUUUUCUGUUAGGAGUUUUUAGAGCUAACCGAAUGAAUAUGGAAGAUGUUUGGGCAACCGAUGCUACAGGAAUUGAAAUUUUUCCGGCAACUAUAUCUUUGCAGCGAUUUCGUUUCCUGCUGAGGUCUAUGAGGUUUGAUGACAUCCACACCCGGGCUGAAAGGAGGCUAGAAGAUAAGUUGGCACCUUUAAGAAAGUUCUUUGAGAAAUUUUUAUCUUCAGUUAUAAUGUCUCAGAGUAUGCGACAGUAGAUGAAAUGUUGACUGCCUUUAGAGAGAACUGUCUGUUCAGAGUCUACGUGUCAAGUAAACUAGCAAACUUUCCAUAAAAAUAUUUAUUUUGGCAGAUGCUAAAACUUUCUAUGUGUCACGUAUGGAGGUCUACUUGGGGAAACAACCAGUAGGCCCUUCUAUAGUAGAUAAUUCUGGUCUGGAAGAAAUAUUACAAUGGAUAAUUGGUUUACAAGUUACGGAGUUGCAGUUGCUUUCUUGACGAAUUAUAGUUUAACGUUAGUUGGCACUCCGAGAAAGAAUAAGAUAGAACCUGCCCCUCAGUUUGUUGUCACAAGAAGCAGAACUGAGUACACAAGUUUGUUUGGUCUCCAGAAGGAUGUUACACUAACCUCAUAUGUUUCUAAGAAAGGUAAAAACGUUGUCCUACUGAGCACAAUGCAUCAUGAUGCUGCAACUGAUGAAAGUACAAAAGAAAAAAGAAAACCAGAGAUUAUUACCUUCUACAGACACCGUUGACCAGUUGUGUUCCAUCUACAAUGUUUCCAGAAAUACUCGACGUUGGUCAGUUACAGAUUUCUACACCAUACUCAAUGAUGACCCCAUAUGCUUGCUGGCUUCCGGUAUGCGGAGUUCUCGACUGGUAGCACUUGCAUGUGCGAGUUGUUUGCAAGACAUUCAUGGCAAAUUUUCAAACAGCUAUCAGGCGCCGAAAGUUUCUGAGGGAAUUGGGACUCAAGUUGGUGGAGGACCAUAUCCAUCAUCGCAAGACAAAGCCAUAUUUCAGAAAUGACUUGAAAAGGAAGAUUCAACAUUUCUCAGCAUCUAAGGAAUUACCUCCAAAACGUCAUCGUGAAGAUUCCAUACAAAGAUGCUCAUUGUACCCCAGGGUAAAAUAUCGUAAGACAAGAAAUUGCUGCCAGAAGUGCUAUAAACCCAUUUGCUUGAAACAUGCAAUGCAAAUUUGCAUUGACUGCUUUGCUCAGAGUGAUGAGGAUGAUAAUACAAACAAUGAGUAAACAGUAAAUAUGAAAGGAGCACUCUCCCCACCAAAAAAAUAGUCUUAUUUUGCUUGACCUUCAUUUUCAAAAAGUACUCGUUUGUUUCUGU